GAAACUAACAAGGAUUCCCCUAGUAGCGGCGAGCGAAGCGGGAAGAGCUCAAAUUUAUAAUCUGGCACCUUCGGUGUCCGAGUUGUAAUCUCUAGAAGUGUUUUCCGCGUUGGACCGCACACAAGUCUGUUGGAAUACAGCGGCAUAGUGGUGAAACCCCCGUAUAUGGUGCGGACGCCCAGCGCUUUGUGAUACACUUUCAAUGAGUCGAGUUGUUUGGGAAUGCAGCUCAAAUUGGGUGGUAAAUUCCAUCUAAAGCUAAAUAUUGGCGAGAGACCGAUAGCGAACAAGUACCGUGAGGGAAAGAUGAAAAGCACUUUGGAAAGAGAGUUAACAGUACGUGAAAUUGUUGGAAGGGAAACGCUUGAAGUCAGACUUGCUUGCCGGAGCUUGCUUCGGUUUGCAGGCCAGCAUCAGUUUUCCGGGGUGGAUAAUGACGGUUUGAAGGUAGCAGUCUCGGCUGUGUUAUAGCUUUCCGUUGGAUACAUCCUGGGGGACUGAGGAACGCAGCGUGCUUUUUGCGAAAGACUCGUCUUUUCACGCUU
rnacentral:rRNA from 1 species